UCCGUUAUAGAUCAUACGACCAUCACGCACCGAAACAUGUAGUUCACUGAUAUUUACAAGCCAUGCCACUGCCUCAUGAAAAAACUACUUCGUCCGUCUUUCUUCUUCGAAUCCCCACACAGCGUCCUCCCAACCCGGCCGCCGCGGAAGAAGCCGCCGCCGUCCGAGCACUCUUCGAAUUUGAAGGCCUCCUCCAGGAGCGCGACCAUCCCGUCCGCCUGGCCGUCCCGCUCCCCGUCUCCUCCCCCACGCUCCCCACCACCGGCGCUGAGACCGAGUCAUCCGGCGACGACGAGGCCGCAUCUGAAUCCGGCAACGACGAGGCCGCAUCUGAAUCCAGCGACUCCUCCCGCCCCGCGCGCGCCCGCCGCGACCUGAGGUGAGUGUGUGAGUGGUUCCAAUGCACUAGUCUCUCUCCAUAUUCUCUUUGAUCCGGUGCUAGCUGAUCUGAUCCCGACGGUUGUCUCUGUUGUUGUCCGCGAGGGGCCGGGCGAGUGGGGUGCGCAGUGGACGGAGUUCGUCUCGUGGGAGCCCAGGGCGUUCGUCUACCACAAGUUCCUGAUUUCUUAGCAAGAUCAGACAGACAAAAAGGAAGGUUCAGACAAGAUACAACAUGGGUGUCAAGGUGCGCAUAGGUGCAUUCACAAAGAGAAUUCUGAAGCUUCAUGGCGUGCCCCACCAGACCACGUUGUCGACGAGUGCGUCCUUCACCACUCCCUCUGCCAUCAUGGCUCACAUUUUUUGUUCUACAACAGUUGAUGUAGCGUCUUUCAUUGAAUCUUCCACUGUUCAGAUUACCCACACGACUCUUAUGUAAUUAUCAUGGUGCUAAUUCUAUAGUUAUCAGGGUGCUAAUGAUAUAUUUAUCACACUUGCUUAUGGUAAAAUUACCAUGUUGAAUUUUUCAAUGGAGACAUAUAUGUUUUUAACA